rnacentral:rRNA from 1 species
CGAUCAACCGCCCCAUUUCCGGGUGGUUCCGCUGCUAGCCAUCGACCAGACUCUCCUACUAGUCGGUGUGACCCUGACUCUGUGCCGGGUCUGAGGAUGCCCUCCGUCGUCACCCCUUAUAACCUGUUACCCGCUUUCGGACUAGGUCGGUACGGCGCACCCACUUCUUCCGGAAGCCCAACAUUUCGGGAAAACAACCCCUUCUUUAGGACGACCGAUUAUGGGCCGCCCCUACUGCCAUGGGUUUCUUAUUCGUGGCCGAUUGAAGCACGGUCGUCGGCGCCAUUAUGCUUCCCACGUCCGCAAUGAGCCUUAAUGACCCGCAUUUCGCACGCAUCCACCACCGAAUUCAGGCAACACUUUCGGGACCCGAGUUGGACCCUUAACGUCACCUAUGACCCAGUGAUCUCACACCAUCUCCCACCGCCUUAAGGGCCACAUCGUCACUUUACGCAUCUCUAGCCCUCCUUGUGGGCACCGCUUCCGCCGGUGGACCCGGUUGUGACUGUGACUCCGUGCUUUCGCACCCCUCGUUUGUCCUAAUCUAUGGGACCAUCAGGUGCGGGAUUUGCUACGCUUGACCUACAACCCAAGUUAAACCCUGAGUCAUAGCUUCGAUUGCGCAAUUCAGCGGCG